GGCCAGACUCCUACGGGAGGCAGCAGUGAGGAAUAUUGGUCAAUGGCCGAGAGGCUGAACCAGCCAAGUCGCGUGAGGGAUGACGGCCCUACGGGUUGUAAACCUCUUUUGUCGGGGAGCAAAAGCCGGACGUGUCCGGCUGUGAGAGUACCCGAAGAAAAAGCAUCGGCUAACUCCGUGCCAGCAGCCGCGGUAAUACGGAGGAUGCGAGCGUUAUCCGGAUUUAUUGGGUUUAAAGGGUGCGCAGGCGGGGGUGCAAGUCAGCGGUCAAAUUGCGGGGCUCAACCCCGUACUGCCGUUGAAACUGCAUCCCUUGAGUGCGCGAGAAGUAUGCGGAAUGCGUGGUGUAGCGGUGAAAUGCAUAGAUAUCACGCAGAACUCCGAUUGCGAAGGCAGCAUACCGGCGCUCAACUGACGCUGAGGCACGAAAGCGUGGGGAUCGAACAGGAUUAGAUACCCUCGUAUCU
rnacentral:rRNA from 1 species